GGGCCCAUAGCUUAAUGGAUAGAGUCCAGGAUUCCGGUUCCUGUGGUUCGGGUUCGACUCCCGAUGGGCCCU
rnacentral:tRNA from 1 species